AGCUCGCUUUGGAUGAUGAGGCUAGGUACAGAGAUGAGAAACAUAAAAAACAUGAGAAAAGAGAGAAAGAUCAAAUCCAGCGGUCUAAAUCUGGAUUGGGCUCCUUGCCUAAUAAAUACCCUACACUAGAUCCAAUCAGUAAACAGCAUCGUUAGAAGAGAUGAGUGAAAAAAAUAUUUUUAUACAAUUGACGAAAUAUUGAAAAAAAAAUAUUCAAUUAUAAUAAAAAUAUAUUUGCAUUUUAAACAUUCAAAGCACUGAACUAAAUUUUGUGUCAACUUAACCUUAAACAGGCUGGGGGGAGAGUUUGAUGCCCGCCUCUCAGGUUGUUUACCCUUGCACACUCUUAUUUUUGACACUACACUGUUAGAAAUGCCAUUUUGUAAAUUUUCAAUAUCAUCAUAUUUCAGGCCAAUACAACCAGUAUAUAGAAGACAUUCAUUGAUAUAUCGUUUGAAAUUUGAUGUUUUCUGGUCAGAAAGAUUUUACUUGAAUUAGCCUAAACACUAGUUGAUAUAAGUAAAAUUAGAAUCACAUCAAAUUUUUAAAUGAGAAUUGAGAGAAAGCAAUUUCAGUAUUAUUCAAGAUACUUUAAAUACAUACAUUAUUGAUCUCUAUUAGAAUUUACUUGAAGAGAGUCAAAUUUUAAUUGAAGUAAGCAGAAUUCUGGUUAAUGCAGAAUCCAAGUAGUAUUCUGAUUGAAUUGAGUGCCGGUACGUGUCUGAACGCCAGAUCACUGUAAUUAAAGUAAGCAGGAUUAUGCUUGCUUCGAUUUCUGAUGAUUGAAGUAAGUAGAAUUCAAGUGAAUGUAAUUAGAAUUUAGCGUACAGGCCGUAAAUUGAUAUCAAGCAGAAUUAUCGUUGAUAUAUUACAACGGAUCUUCAUGGCUUGGUGCGUGAACUAAAUACUGUUGAUUGUAAGCGGGUUUUUCUAACAGUGUAUCGCUAUGACAUUUUUUUACUUUUAAUGAACAGGGUAUGUUACAGGGCGGUAAAAAAUCCAGUCCGUGUAAAAAAAAGAAAUCUAAAAUAGCCUUUUUUUGUGACUAAAGCUACAGAUCUAAAAAGAUCCUUGAAAAAUUAAUGUAGAAACAGAUGUAAUACUUUGACAUUUGUGAAAAACAAAUAAUACAUUUUUUUUUUUUUACCUUUUUUCAACCUUUUUUCAACCCUCCCUAGCAUCCAAACAAUUAAAAUUAUCGGCCUAAUUUUUUUCAAAAGGUGGCCUUGAAAAAUUUGUCUAUGAACAUGCAUUUCAACUCUAUACCUAUUCUUUAAGGCCUUUUUUCUUGGGGGUGGGGGCGUGGGACGCCCCCGCCCCCAGGCUGUACAUAAAUUCAGACCCCCAGCCUUUAAAGGGUUAAAGUACUAUCGACUUAAUUUCAAGUAGUUGGAUUUUUUGUGUUGAAAAUCUCGAGAUCAAGUAUGUAAAUAAUUCUUCUUUGAUAUCCCGUGAUGGUCAUUCCCUACAGGGAUAACUUUAAUCUGAUCAUCAAAGUGCCCUCAGUGGAUAUCAAGAUCUAACGUUCAAGAUUAAGGAUACGUCAAAUUUCCGAUUUCCUUUUUAAUAGUUUCAUGUCCUAUUCCCAGCUACCCUGUAUCUAAAAGCUUCGUCUGAACAAAAAUGACAGGUUUUUUACUUAAAAUUGAUAAAUCUUCUUUUUUUGAGACAGAACUAAAAGUGUCUUUGAAUAGAAAAAAUUUCUCUUCUUCAUUGUUAAUUGUCAGAUAAGAGUGGAAAUGGUACCAUUGUGAAUAGAACAUUACACUCUUAGACGCUUGAAAUUGGCAGUCUCUUUUACAACCUUAAGAUUUAUAUGUUGUCUUGACUACAGUGGUAACCAAAAACAGUGGAAUAGAAAGACGACAUUAUAUCAAUACUUAAGCGUAUUGACGUUGUUACAAAUAAAAAUAUUUUUACCAGUAACUUAACAAAGCACAAUUUAAUUACACUCUACAAUUGCUAUUAUGUCUAAUGUUCUUUAAACUAGUAUUAGUCCUAACUUGAGUUUAAAAAUCGUCUUUUUAUUCAGAGUUUUCUGGUUUAUCACUGAAUAUAAAAACAAAUCUAAUUGUGUUCCUUCAAUAAUUAAUGUUUUGUUAAACCCUGUGUAAUUCCAUCGUAAAAGAUCAAAUACAUUCUUCGCUUA
rnacentral:lncRNA from 1 species